rnacentral:rRNA from 1 species
CCUACGGGUGGCAGCAGUGGGGAAUAUUGGACAAUGGGCGAAAGCCUGAUCCAGCCAUGCCGCGUGUGUGAAGAAGGCCUUCGGGUUGUAAAGCACUUUCAGUGGGGAAGAAAGCCUUGGGGCUAAUACCCUCGAGGAAGGACAUCACCCACAGAAGAAGCACCGGCUAACUCCGUGCCAGCAGCCGCGGUAAUACGGAGGGUGCGAGCGUUAAUCGGAUUUACUGGGCGUAAAGCGCGCGUAGGCGGUCUGAUAAGCCGGUUGUGAAAGCCCCGGGCUCAACCUGGGAACGGCAUCCGGAACUGUCAGGCUAGAGUGCAGGAGAGGAAGGUAGAAUUCCCGGUGUAGCAGUGAAAUGCGUAGAGAUCGGGAGGAAUACCAGUGGCGAAGGCGGCCUUCUGGACUGACACUGACGCUGAGGUGCGAAAGCGUGGGUAGCAAACAGGAUUAGAUACCCUGGUAGUC